rnacentral:rRNA from 1 species
GGAGGGUGCGAGCGUUAUCCGGAAUUACUGGGUUUAAAGGGUGCGUAGGCGGCUCGGUAAGUCAGGAGUGAAAGUUUGCGGCUCAACCGUAAAAUUGCUUCUGAUACUGCCGGGCUAGAAUCAGGAUGAGGUCAGCGGAAUGUGGCAUGUAGCGGUGAAAUGCAUAGAUAUGCCAUAGAACACCUAUUGCGAAGGCAGCUGGCUAGACCUGUAUUGACGCUGAGGCACGAAAGCGUGGGGAGCGAACAGGAUUAGAUACCCUGGUAGUCCACGCCCUAAACGAUGCUUACUCGACGUAUGACGCUAGACGUUGUGCGUCCAAGGGAAACCGUUAAGUAAGCCACCUGGGGAGUACGACCGCAAGGUUG